UACGGCACGGGCUCGCACCGCACCAAACCGAAUUUCGAUUCAUUCCGGCCGUGACAGAAAGGGAGAAACUGGGGGUUGGAAAAACGUGUGUGACGUCAUUUAUGGACGGCCCUUUGGAAGGGGUAAGGGUAAGAAUCCCAGACUUCCCACAUCCCACCCCUUUGUGUGCGCCUGACAAUUUUCAGUUCACACUUCACGUGAAGACUGAAAACGAAAAGAAGUUGUCAGUGUGUGUCUGAAUCGAGUCGUGCAAAGGUCGUGCCUGCUUAUUAAAACGAAAGAUGGAUAAAACUGAUUCAGUAUUCGUGUUUAAUCAAAAUGAACAUGAACCGAGUGCCUCAUCAGCAAGGCGAUGGGUCACCCCUCGAAUGGAACCAGAAACACCAAAGGAAUGGGAAUCCUGGCGGAUGAAGAAGUCACUUGUUGAGAGUGAGAUGCUACAAAAAUUGGCUCAACAUCAUGAAAAGUUCCAUGACGAAAUGAAAAUGCAACUGAAUUGCCUGCAGGAAAAGUGUCAGCAGUCUUUUCGGAAUUUUCAACAAAAACUCGACGCGGCCUACAACGGGGAGUUGUUGAAACUGCAAUACGAAAAUGAGAUGUUGAAAAAGGAACUUGAGAAGUAACAAUUUUUUGCUCAAACUGCUUGAACUCAAACUUGAAAUGGAAUAAAAAUGUUUUGCAUUAAUUUUUGUAUUUUUUUAAUGACAACGAAAGUUCAAAUCUCAAGUCUUUUGUUCUUGUGCUUUUCUUGUUAGAAAAGGUUGAUUCAAAUACUGCAAAAUUUUCCCUCUUAGAUCUGGAUCAGGAAAUGUGGAGACUAUAGAUGGCGUCGUUGGCUUGUCAACAGAGCAGACGAUAGUGUCAAUUCACUCGUUGAGUCGUUGAUCAGUUGGUUUGACAGUGUGUCCACUUUGUUAAGCCAAAGAUAAAUAAUCAACAAAUUAUUAAAAGUGCAUUGUAAAUUGUUGCUUUCUACGUAAAUAGUACAAAAUGGGUCGUACCUGUGAUAUCAUUGGAUGCACAAAUUCAAAUAACAAGAUGGAAAAAUUAAGCUAUCACAGUUUGCCAUCAAAUGAACUUUUGAGAGGAAAAUGGGCCAUUAGUGCAAAUGGAGGAUUUCGGCAGUCUAAAACGAGAAAGAAAACGCACAAUUGGGAGAACACAUUUAUUUGUGGCGAACAUUUCCCAGAAGACUGAGCACUACAUUUCGACAUCAAAGCAGAAACAUCUCAAACCUAUCGCUGUCCCAACAUUCCCUCCAACAAAGAAACAAAAGUGUAUCGAAAACAACAGUUCAGCUUAGAAUAUUUUUUAAGGUUGUUGUAAACAACUAACUGACUUUUUAAUUAUAGAUAAUGCUACAGAAGGUUAAUUAAUCUUUGAUCAACUCAGUAAACCAACUGAUUGUUUCUUCUCGUUUACAGGUACUAACGAAUUUCCCGCAGAACGUAACUUUCAUCCAAGAUUGAGGAUUGACGACGUGCUGGGACAGAUGACUUUGGGUGGAUGGAACAUGUUGAUUCGACAUUUUACUCCCACGUGCCCCUUCCUGUCGUUUGUGUAUAGACGGGCAGCUGUGUACUUCAAUAGAAAGAGAAGCAGCGCCACAGAUGACAUCAAGUAUAUGGCCGAUAACCAAAUCCCCAGCAUUCGGAUUGCCACCAGUCUGCUGCCAAAUGGAAAUUCAAACUCCUUGUUGGUAAUUUUGGACCUGUCUUAUGUGUCAUCAAGAUUGCAAAUGCUGAAGUCAUCAUUGUCUCCACAUGGCACAUCAGACGAGUAGUCGGGAAAUCGCUACGGACCGAAUACUUCUUUUUUCACGCAAUACUUGUUAAAAUGUUGAGGUAUUAGGCUACAAUUUUAUAUUUUUGAGUGUGCGUUUCUAUGAAUAACUGAAUGCAUUGUAUUUCUUGCCAGAUUUGUUCAACAGCAUUUCUUUGUUGGGACCAACAUCACAUCUUCAGCAUUCUGGAAAUUGCAGGCACAUUUCACGUUGCGGGACGAAAUUUCACUCCCCCGUCUGUUCCCCGGUUUUCGUACGACGGCCAUGCUGCUCUCCCAUCUGGAUAUAAGUCGUAAUUCGAUCGACCAGGGAUCCAUCCGCAUGUAGCCCCUCCCUUGAAUACUUGGACCCUUCCGCUUUGUAUGGAUCCGGUAUUUCUUUUGCGAUAGCAAAGGAAUUGUUUCAUGUCGUUGUCAACGUCGUGAUGAAAGUGGGUGCCUCUUGGAUUAUCGACGGAUCGUUCGGCGUAUUCCCGAAGAUCACGAACAGAGAAAGGUCGUAGCCUCCUUCACUGGGGAAGAAAUCACAGCCGCUUUCCCAGGGGUAUCCGCUGUUGUAACCUCCAGAUUUCCAUUCCCUGGCCGACGAAACGACCAAAACGGUCAUUACCACACAAAAAAACAAAAAGGUUGGAGCCGACCGUCACCGAUUUGGAAUCGAUCCCGUUGUGACAUUUGAUCCCACUCGAAGUUUCGAUAUGAGUUCCCUUUCACAAAAACAAGGGCGAUAUGGGUUGAGAACCUUGACAAGUAAAUCUGAAAGUGCAAUUGAACAUCGUCGUCGUGGUAUAUAAAGAGCCAAUUGAACGAUCAAUCAGCAACUCAUUCUUCUCAUUUACUUGGCUCCAGCAGCAUCUCAUUCGUUCGGGACUUUUUAUUCUUCAGAUUUUGAAUUCAAUUACGAAUAAUUUGUGAAAAUGUCGGCCGCCCAGUGCAACAAAAUGUUUUUGAUUUCCGCCGUUUUGGUGAUGGUUGCGGCGAUCCUGCCAGCCGAGGCGAUCCGAACCUGGGACGAUUGGCACAACAGCGACGACGGCAUUAAAUGGAGGUACAACUGCGAGUUUCCAGGUGCUUGGACGCUAGAGGCCAAGGAAUUCAACAGCGACUAUUCGCCAAUGGAAGAAUCGCAGUGCGGCCGUGCCUGUAUCGACCGCAGGGGAUGCAAUUCCUUCGUGUUCAGAGAAGGCACUUGCUUCCUGAAAUCCUCUUCCAUUCCUGGAUCUUACAAACCUUAUAGACUUUGCAACCAGUGCGACAGUUGCGGUUUUCUCCCCUGGAAAUUCCACUAGAAAUUGCAAUUUAAUUUAUUCAUCAAAUUUAUAUUAUUUAUUUUGUCGGUUUACAAACGUCAGCUUGAUUAAUUCCACGUAUAUUUAUGGGGUGGCGAAAUAUAGUUGUCUCUAUUUGA